UUAUCUCCUUUUGUUUCAGCUGUAGUGGGACGAACUACGAAAGCUCUCACUUCCUUACUGCACUAUAAGGAUACAUAGGCAGGAGAAUUCAAAUUCUUUGUGAGCUACCCUAUUUAUUAAUCAAUCAUUCUUCAUUCAUUCAAUCAAUACCAUCUUUUUGAGAUCAAAUAUACUUCUCCUUGAACUCCUUGUACAUCCUUUUAGGAUGAUAUAAUGGAAGUCCACCUCAUGAAUCAAAAGUUGUUUGGAUCGUUCAC
rnacentral:lncRNA from 1 species